GACGAACGCUGGCGGCGUGCCUAAUACAUGCAAGUCGAACGCAGUGGGGACGGGUGAGUAACACGUGGGUAACCUCCCCUCAGAGGGGAUAACACUUGGAAACAGGUGCUAAACCGAUACUGAUGGAUGGACCUGCGGUGCAUUAGCUAGUUGGUGAGGUAACGGCUCACCAAGGCCACGAUGCAAAGCCGACCGGAGAGGGUGGUCAGCCACACUGGGACGGAGACGCGGCCCAGACUAAAACGGUAGGCAGCAGUAGGGAAUCGUCUGCAAUGGACGAAGGUCUGACCGAGCAACGCCGCGUGAGGGAAGAAGGUAUGCGGAUCGAGAAACUCUGUUGUUAGAGAAGCGGUAUCUAACCAGAAAGCCACGGCUAACUACGUGCCAGCAGCCGCGGUAAUUC
rnacentral:rRNA from 1 species